rnacentral:miRNA from 1 species
UAUAAAUCCUCUUUUGCACUGA